rnacentral:rRNA from 1 species
UACGAAGGGGGCUAGCGUUGCUCGGAAUGACUGGGCGUAAAGGGCGCGUAGGCGGUUCGUACAGUCAGACGUGAAAUUCCCGGGCUCAACCUGGGGACUGCGUUUGAUACGUACGGGCUUGAGUUCGGAAGAGGGUCGUGGAAUUCCCAGUGUAGAGGUGAAAUUCGUAGAUAUUGGGAAGAACACCGGUGGCGAAGGCGGCGACCUGGUCCGAUACUGACGCUGAUGCACGAAAGCGUGGGGAG